GACGAACGCUGGCGGCGGGCUUAACACAUGCAAGUCGUGCGGUAAGGCCCUUUCGGCUGUCCACGAGUGGCGAACGGGUGAGUAACACGGGAUUACCCUUCCCACAACUUUCUGAGAACGCUAGAUAACUCGUGCUAAGACUGCAUAUUAGCUCCUGCUCCCUGGUGCGGGUUGCCACGCUCCAUCGGUUGUUGAUGGACUCACGGCCUAUGAUCUGUUUGGUUAGGUAGUUGCCUACCAAGGCGCCGACCGGUAGCAGGCCUGAGAGGGUGACCGGCGACAUUGGGACUGAGACACGGCGCAGAAGCAUACGGGAGGAAGCAGCGAGGAAUAUUGCACAAUGGGAGCAAGGCUGCGGCAGCAACGACGCGCGCAGGAUGACGGAAUUCGGGUUGUACAGCGAUAUAAGCAGGGACGAAGCUUUCUGUGAAGGUACCUGAAGAAGAAGCACCGGCUAACUCCGUG
rnacentral:rRNA from 1 species